GGAAAAUAUGCUUUGUGUUUAAUUGCUCACGCUGAAAUUUUUCUCUAUUCUACCCAGGUUCUGAUACAGCCCUUACUUAGACAAUAUUGGAAAAUGAUCUGAAGUUUUUUGACCCAGGAAGAUGCAUAUACUUGUAUAAUAUGUGCCUGCGAUGCCGUGGAUAUUUGUGAUUGAAAAUAAGAUCAAGUGAACUCUUACAGGAUUUGAAAUGGCAGCUGCUGAAAUUCAGAAGCUGGUGAUGAAGCACUGGAAAAGAAAAUGAGAAAUUGAAGAGGGCUGCUGGAGGAUACAACGAGAUAUCAGGCAGAUCUGGAAAGAAAGCCUUGAAAAAUAGAUUUUAUGAGAUAAACAGGGUAACAUAAGAUGAAAAAGAUCUCAUUAAUCUCUCAUGUUUUUCUCUCUUUACAGAUUGAGCACUAAAACAGAAAUAAUGCAGCUGUUUUGAGAUCAGCAGUUUUGUUGCAAAUAGAAGUCUGAGGAAACAGUUCAGUGAGCACCAGAGUGUUAUAGGGAUAAGGAUGCAGAUUCUCCCUCAGCUCAGCCUUUCAAACCAUUCCAGCCUACUGUGAUUGUUCUUGAAAGGAUAAGAGAGGCAGGACUCCCAGACCCAUAAAUCAUUUAGGAAAGUCUGUUGUAUUAAAUUUAAAAAGGAGGAAAAAAAAACCCCAGUCUCUCUGUUGCAGUAAUUCUGAUCCAUUGAUGAUUUACUAUAUUCUAGCUUUAGGAUGAGUCCUGCAUGCUGUUUGGAAUUUGACCAUUUGAUGGAACGUACUGUAAGGGAGGAUUUUCCUUUGCGUUUAAAAAAACAAUACAAAAAUUACACAUUUUUUUCAUUACUUUUUAAUUUAAUAAAGAUUAGCUUAGUAGUGGGUAAGCCUAAAAGUUACAAUUCCUUUAAGAUCACAUUUGAAAUUUCAAAACUGAUGUAGAAUUUUGCCUUUAAUAGCAGUUUCAAAGGUGAAGGAGAAACUAAGAAAUUCUGAUGAUAUUGGCUAAGAUGUGAAUAUUUAUUCGACUGUUAUCUUGUAAAGUGGAUUGAGAUGUCCUUCAGAACUGUCCCUUCUCUUCUACUCUUGCACUGCAGUUACCCUGGAGCCACCCAGACAUUAAGAUUUUCAAGGUCAAACCUAAUCAAAACCACCUUAUCCCUCUCCACUAAUUCAGUAUCUGAACUGUCCCUUCCUUACCUCAGAGACAUGUAAUACUUCUGCAACAGAAAUUAUCACUGCCUGCCCUGCUCUGAACUGUAGUACCAUGAUGUUGUUGACAGCCAAAGGUACAGGUUUUUAGCAUGUUUAGUGGAUGUCUGGUUAUUAUGGAACAGUCUGAACCUGCUGUAGCAGGCCAGAUGAGAGAUGUGAUGUGCUCCUUGAGUUAGCGCUUCUCUCUCUAUAUCGCUACUGUUGGAACAUUUGCAUCUGCAACAGACCUGGCAUGUUGAUUUUGAACUGGAAGGCUUCAACAGUCUUUCCUACUUGCAUUUUAACAGUCUGCUUCCAGGGUUCUCAAAUGAAGACUGAAUUUUGGGGUGGAGCAAUUUCAAGAGUCUUGGACCUUUUAUCGUGCAAGUAAGCUCCAAUUUUGUGUUAGUGAGAGACAUAAGGUAAUAUAUUUUCUCUUUAAUGCUCCCCAAAAUUGUGCUACAGUGGUUUCUAAGUGAGGAGGCACUUCUACAUAUUGUAACUGUGAACUGGUUUUGGCUUGACUGUGAAUACGGUAUGGACCUAAAUAAGACCCCUUCUGGAUGUGAAUUGUAAAGCCUAUGUUAUCUCAUGGAAAGAGAGCAAGAAAAAGGAUAAUGAUGUACAGAAAGUGUGUGAAGAAAAAAGUCUAAAUGAAUUUGUGUGAGACAUAAACAAAGGGCAUGAAUUUUAAGAAUUCUCAGAUUUUGAUAUUGAUUUUCACGAAGAUAUGUAAGAUUUCUCAAACAACCAAAACAUUCAAAUCCUUCAAAUGAAGUUAUUCCACUGAAAAAUAGGCUUAAUCUGUUGCUUCCUAGAGCACUACUAAAAACCCAACCCCGUAUCAACAAAAAACCACUGACUUGAAUCAGGCUUUGAGACUGAGCAGAAAACUGCAUUCAGCCUGUGGCAGUACUGCUGUAUCAAAUUUAAUUCAGAGCAUUUAAUGUAUAAUUUUCUUUCUUGUCCACUAGUUUCAGGUAUUUUCUCUAUAGACAUUUGAAUGAAUACAAAACAUGUCAUUCAUUUCAAUCGGAGAGAUACAAGAGACAGCUUCUUCAAUGCUCCUCUCUUUUAAAAAGAACAACUCUCUGAUGCAGAUUCUCAUCUGGCAAACAUAUCGUCAUUCUUAAAUGGUGUUAUCACACUCAUCCUCUCCUUUCCCCUUUAUAUUGAUCUUUAGAAUAGACAGAAUGUUUUAACCUUUGGAAUUUAUCACAAUGGCUUUUCUUGCCUUAUCAAUUCUAAUGGGUUGAGCUCUCUGUAUCUGCAUGGAGAUCUUUCCUAUCUUCUCUCUUUUUUCACAUUUCAAGAAGUCUGUCUUGUUGCAAAUCUCUUGUUAGAAGACAUAUAUAAAUGUUUUUGGGUUUCUAAUCUGAAAAAGAAAUGGCCACACUCUCUGGGAAUUAAAAUUAAGUCUCUAAAGGAAAUAACUCUCCUUUAGAAAAUCCAGAUGUCUAAAGAAAGAUUAUUAUCUCUGGCAUGAUCCCAUCCCUACCAUGCCAUUUACUGUUUUUCUUUUCUCUUUGGAUUUGAUCAUAUUUCAGCCAGAACAUUUAGUUUUAUUUAAAUGCAAUGACACAAAUAUUGCUAAUCUGG